CCUACGGGAGGCUGCAGUGGGGAAUAUUGGGCAAUGGGCGCAAGCCUGACCCAGCAACGCCGCGUGAAGGAAGAAGGCUUUCGGGUUGUAAACCUCUGUUGUCAGGGAAGAGAAGAAGACGGAACAUGACGAAUAAGGCAGGGCUAACUACGGGCCAGCAGCCGCGGUAAUACGGAGGUGGCAAGCGUUGUCCGGAUUUACUGGGUGGAAAGGGCGGGUAGCCGGGUUGACAAGUCAGAUGUGAAAUCCUGCGGCUUAACCUAAGAACGGCAUUUGAAACUGUUGGUCUUGAGUACUGGAGAGGCAGAUGGAAUUCCUUGUGUAGCGGUGCAAUGCGUAGAUAUUCGGA
rnacentral:rRNA from 1 species